AACGGGGGGGACGAGUAUUAUCCGUCAUGAUUGGGCGUAAAGGGUAUGUAGGCUGAUUUAAAAGUUUAAAAAUUAAAUAUUAGUAAAUACUAAGAAUAUUUUUAUACUAUAAAUCUAUGGGUGCGAAAGAAGAUAGCGGUACUCUUGGUGUAAGGGUGAAAUCUUAUUAUAUCAAUGGGGACCACCAAUUAGCGAAGGCGGCUAUCUAGAACGUAACUGACGCUGAGAUACUAAGGCGUAGGGAGCAAACAGG
rnacentral:rRNA from 1 species